AUUGAACGCUGGCGGCAUGCUUUACACAUGCAAGUCGAACGGUAACAGGCCUUCGGGUGCUGACGAGUGGCGAACGGGUGAGUAAUGCAUCGGAACGUACCCAGAGGUGGGGGAUAACGCAGCGAAAGCUGUGCUAAUACCGCAUGUGAUCUGAGGAUGAAAGCGGGGGACCGCGCAGCAAUGUUUGGCCUCGCGCCUUUGGAGCGGCCGAUGUCGGAUUAGCUAGUUGGUGGGGUAAAGGCCUACCAAGGCGACGAUCCGUAGCUGGUCUGAGAGGACGACCAGCCACACUGGGACUGAGACACGGCCCAGAGCCCUACGGGAGGCCGCAGUGGGGAAUUUUGGACAAUGGGCGCAAGCCUGAUCCAGCAAUGCCGCGUGCGGGAAGAAGGCCUUCGGGUUGUAAACCGCUUUUGGCAGGAACGAAACGGUGUCCGCUAAUACCGGGCGCUAAUGACGGUACCUGCAGAAUAAGCACCGGCUAACUACGUG
rnacentral:rRNA from 1 species